rnacentral:rRNA from 1 species
GUCGAGCGGAUGAAGAGAGCUUGCUCUCUGAUUCAGCGGCGGACGGGCGAGUAAUGCCUAGGAAUCUGCCUGGUAGUGGGGGACAACGUUUCGAAAGGAACGCUAAUACCGCAUACGUCCUACGGGAGAAAGCAGGGGACCUUCGGGCCUUGCGCUAUCAGAUGAGCCUAGGUCGGAUUAGCUAGUUGGUGAGGUAAUGGCUCACCAAGGCGACGAUCCGUAACUGGUCUGAGAGGAUGAUCAGUCACACUGGAACUGAGACACGGUCCAGACUCCUACGGGAGGCAGCAGUGGGGAAUAUUGGACAAUGGGCGAAAGCCUGAUCCAGCCAUGCCGCGUGUGUGAAGAAGGUCUUCGGAUUGUAAAGCACUUUAAGUUGGGAGGAAGGGUUGUAGAUUAAUACUCUGCAAUUUUGACGUUACCGACAGAAUAAGCACCGGCUAACUCUGUGCCAGCAGCCGCGGUAAUACAGAGGGUGCAAGCGUUAAUCGGAAUUACUGGGCGUAAAGCGCGCGUAGGUGGUUUGUUAAGUUGGAUGUGAAAGCCCCGGGCUCAACCUGGGAACUGCAUUCAAAACUGACAAGCUAGAGUAUGGUAGAGGGUGGUGGAAUUUCCUGUGUAGCGGUGAAAUGCGUAGAUAUAGGAAGGAACACCAGUGGCG